UUUUGAAUUAUGGGUUGAGUUUCAAAGUGCUUCCUCCUUUAAUUCAUCGUUUCCUUCUGUUUCUUCAGAUCUGAGAUGGCCUUACCAUUUUAAGUUAACUUACCAGUCUUGAAUUUUUGCUUUUUUUUUUUUUAGAAACAGUAAAGUGAUGUUAGGGACCUGGGUUUUGAAUUUAUGCAAAGAUCAAUUUGAUUAUAAGUGAAUUAGGGAAAAUGAAGGAGAAAAAGAAAUGGAAAACUUGAAGUAGAUUAUGUGGGGCUUGUAGGGGUACAAUGAGAAUUUUUAGAUGAGCACGGUGUGUGUUUGUAGAUAAACAUGAGAGGAAGUAGGGAGAUUUUUGUGUCUAGAUUUUUCCUUCAGUUGAAACUUUUUCAUAAUGUCUUGAGUGUCUCCAUAAGAUUAGGUAUUCAAUAUAUGCAUCAAUCAGUCCGUUGGAUUCUGUAGUUUCUGUUUGAACAAUUCCAGUUGUAAUGAUUUUUUUUUAUCAUGCUAAUGAUGAACUUGAAUGAUUAUGUUUGUUAAUGUUAUUUAUAUUUCAUGAUUAUGCUUAUGAUGAUAAACUUGAAUGAUUAUGUUUCAUUUAUGGUUAUGCUAAUGUUUGUUUCAUUUAUGGUUAACUUUAUUUAUAAAUUUCUUUUAUGAUUUAUUUAAUAAAAUUAUUAUGUGAAAUGAAAUUGUAGCAUUAUUUUUAUUUAAUUAUUUUAAAAUUUGGAAUUUUUUUCACCAUGAUUCUUUUAAUAUUUCGGAUUCGGGCAUCAGGUUUAGGCGCUCUUAAUUUCAUGGGUGCCCUAUCCAGUACCAUCCAUGGACCAUAACCUAUAAAUUCAACUCCCCAAUUCUUAAGAAUAUGAAAGGUGUUAUUUGUUGAAUUUAGAAUCUGUAAAUGUUGUGGUUCACAUUUCAUUUUGUUAUUGAAAUUUAAAUGAGUUUAUUUUUAUUUUUUAUUUGAUAAAAACUCAAUGCAAUGAGUAAUAAGUAGUAAGUAAUAUAAUAAGAGAUAGGUCAAAUUAUAGAACUCCUUACCAUCGACACCUUUAAGGAAAAAGGUGUUACUGUCUGUAAUGGAAGAUAAAAUAAGUGUAAAAGAAAAUUAUGAGUUUGGACUAUCUUUAACAAAAACCGCAAAUUAGUGUUACUGUCAAUUGCUUUGGAAAUUGGAUGGGGCAAUUUACCAACCCAAAAUCCACAAAUCAAAUUGAAUCAACUCCUUUCAUUUGGUUUAGUUUCAUCAAUUUUUGGAUUUUUUUCAAAUUUCAUAUGAAAUUGAACGCUCUUAGCUAUUUGGAUUUAUUUGUUAUGGUUCUAUACAAUUUUUUUUUUUUG
rnacentral:misc_RNA from 1 species